UUAGGAUAAAGGCCAAACAUUUUGUGAAAAUGAUGAAAAGCUUCCCAUUCGCAAAUAGGCCAUAUCCUAGAGCAAUGAUUUCAGGAACUCUGUGCAAUGGCAUUGAAGCUUGUGACGUUGCAUCGUUCUUCCUGCGACAUUU